rnacentral:siRNA from 1 species
UUACGAAUGACUUUUGGGUGA